rnacentral:lncRNA from 1 species
AUGUUGUCUCAUCUGAGACGGUACAAGAUCCGUGUGUCCACACACAGCCGGUCGUGGCUGAGUUCGUGGCUAUGCCUUCCUUCAGAUGUGGCCGGGCUCAGGCUGAUUCAGGGAGAAACACUGCUUCUCAUUGAGUCACAAGGCCGUCCUGGAGCUGUGCUGGACUUUGCUUGGGAUGCUGGAAUAUGGUACCACAAGGAUGUGGGUAGGAAGUUUGGAGGAACUGAGACCACAUUAAAGAAAUCUACAUUAAAAGGGGAGAGAUCGAGAGCUAUGGUAAAGAGCUGAGGAUAUUUACAAACCACAUUUGGUAAGGAACUAGAGACGAGAACAAUGAUUUUGGAAGAUAUGGGAAAAAAUACAGUUGAGAGUGCAAUAUAAGCCCCUCCUCCCAUUUCUCAUACAAAUUUUGAGUAAAAUCACUCUGCUACAGUGAUAUGGUCGGAGCAGAGUCUUCACUGUGAAUGUGAAGAAGUGUUGAGUUGGCACCCUGAGCACAAACACAAGGUGUACGGAAGGACUGCUGUAUGUGGACUACCCCAUGACACCUCUGAAGCUUAGUACAUACCCGCUGUCGUAGAAGGGUGAUGUGGCACUCGGAAAGAUCACGUGACACUCUCAGAGUCAUGCGCUGGUCAAGCAGCAGAGUUGGGAUUUGAGUCAAGUUCUCUCCAGCUUCAAGGUCCGUAUUCUCUCUGUUGACUAUUUCCUACCCACUGAGAGACACUGUCCGCUACACUGAACACUUAAGGCUAAUUCAUCUUCUGCUCCCCAAAGCCUAACAGUGCCUGGCACAUAGUAAAUGUUUAGUAAAGCAUUUGUGACAGAUUGUAGGUGCAAGUAAUUCAUGGUGGCAGUCGACUGAGAGCUCCCUGAGGGCAGGGUUGUCCUUCUGUUCUGCUGUUCACUGAGUUGUCAGCACCUGGCCCAGGACCUGACACAGAAGAGGUACCAAGAGAACAUUUGAAGAAAGAGCUCAUGAACCACCAGUACCUAAUUUGCAAGGUCUUUUCAUUCUUGGCCCCUUUUUUGUAGUGCAGUUUUAAGGUGAUAACUUUUAAUGGAAAAGUCUGGCAUGGCGGCUUUUCAGAGUUUAAAUAAUGUUACAACUUAUGCUUAGAUUUAAAACAUUUUCACCUGCAAUCUACCUUUCGAUUUCCGCAAUUUGCAUCUCAUGAAGGACCUAAUGGACGUCCAUGGCUGAAUUUUACAGCUGUGGUCCCUCAUCAGCGUAUCCGACAAACUUUGGGCAAUCUGAGCAAGAAGGACUUAGCAAUGGAUUUCAAAG